rnacentral:lncRNA from 1 species
GACAGACUUCGUCCGUACUCCUACGGGAGCCAGACUCCAUCCUCGACUCCAACGGCUACAGAUAGACUUCGUCCGGACUCCUAUGGGAGUCGGACUCCGUCCACGACCCCAACUACAGGUAGACUUCGUCCGGACUCCUACGGAAGCCAGACUCCAUCUUCUAUUCCGACUGCGGGAAGACCUCACCCAAACUCCUACGGGUACCGAACCUCGCUACCGACUCUAACCGAACUUUGGCCGACCAGUCUGGACCCCCUGGCAGGCCACAGUAACGGACAACACUGCUCCACUCCCUGCGGCGAACCCUACGCAGCUCCAUUACUCCCUGACAGGCCGUAUUAACGGCCACGAUUCUGCUCCACUCCCUGUGGCGGAUCCUGUGCGAUUCCACCGUUCCCUGACGAGCCACGACAGCGGACGCCGCUCCACUCCCCGUAACUGACUCCACGUGGCAAGCCACGGCCGUAGCCAUGAUCCCACUCUAGUACCCUCCAUAAUAAAUUCCUCCUGACUCUGGGCGGCCCACUACCAGACGGUUACAGGCGUCGCCAUCAAUUUGUUGCCCCC